AUGCAAGUCGAACGGCAGCACGAAGAGCUUGCUCUCUGGUGGCGAGUGGCGAACGGGUGAGUAAUAUAUCGGAACGUGUCCAAUAAUGGGGGAUAACGAGUCGAAAGAUUCGCUAAUACCGCAUACGCCCUACGGGGGAAAGCAGGGGAUCGUAAGACCUUGCGUUAAUGGAGCGGCCGAUAUCUGAUUAGCUUGUUGGUGAGGUAAAGGCUCACCAAGGCGACGAUCAGUAGCUGGUUUGAGAGAACGACCAGCCACACUGGAACUGAGACACGGUCCAGACUCCUACGGGAGGCAGCAGUGGGGAAUUUUGGACAAUGGGGGCAACCCUGAUCCAGCCAUUCCGCGUGAGUGAAGAAGGCCUUCGGGUUGUAAAGCUCUUUCGCAAGGGAAGAAAACUUAUGAUCGAAUAAAUCAUGAGGUUGACGGUACCUUGAUAAGAAGCACCGGCUAACUACGUGCCAGCAGCCGCGGUAAUACGUAGGGUGCGAGCGUUAAUCGGAAUUACUGGGCGUAAAGCGUGCGCAGGCGGUUUUGUAAGUCGGAUGUGAAAUCCCCGGGCUCAACCUGGGAACUGCGUUCGAAACUGCAAGGCUAGAGUGUGUCAGAGGGGGGUAGAAUUCCACGUGUAGCAGUGAAAUGCGUAGAGAUGUGGAGGAAUACCAAUGGCGAAGGCAGCCCCCUGGGAUAACACUGACGCUCAUGCACGAAAGCGUGGGGAGCAAACAGG
rnacentral:rRNA from 1 species